AUGUGCUCCAUGCAAAUGGGAAGGAAUCAGAAUCCCAUGCAGAAGAAAAGCAAAGUCCAUCAGGGAGCCUCCAGUAAAUGAUGCCCCAAUGACAUUCGUGACAAAGAUAUAAACAUGCGGGAAGAGCUUAUCAGACGCGUUCCAUGAAGCCCACCUCCAGUAGUCACAGCAGAAACGGACAAGAGAAGCCAGAAGAGACAUCACCAAAUGCUUGCACUACACUCGCAUGUAUUUUUGUUGCUAAAGGCACCCUUCCGUUCUCAUUCGGUCCUACUCGCUCCUGCCUAUGACAUCUCUCUGACUUUAGACCCAUUUGUGUCCGUGGCGGAGGUCGGGUCGACAAGAAUCCACAUCCUGGCCGCGGCAUCGCCAGGGAAGGAAAGGCACUUCGCUGCCUGGUGCAGGAUGGAAACCAUCCUGCAGAAGCUCUCCAGUUGCACUGACUCGGGUCAUGCGUAUAUCCUUGGUGAAACCAGGUGCAAGGUUCACUGUCUACUCCUUGACCAACUGCUGUGGCUAAGAGGUAAGGUCAUGGACCAAGGUGGCAAGCUCCCUUUUAAAUCCUCUGGUGAGUAA
rnacentral:lncRNA from 1 species